UACGAAGGGGGCUAGCGUUGCUCGGAAUCACUGGGCGUAAAGCGCACGUAGGCGGCUUUUUAAGUCAGGGGUGAAAUCCUGGAGCUCAACUCCAGAACUGCCUUCGAUACUGGGAGUCUCGAGUCCGAGAGAGGUGAGUGGAACUGCGAGUGUAGAGGUGAAAUUCGUAGAUAUUCGCAAGAACACCAGUGGCGAAGGCGGCUCACUGGCUCGGUACUGACGCUGAGGCGCGAAAGCCAGGGGAGCAAACGGG
rnacentral:rRNA from 1 species